rnacentral:tRNA from 1 species
GGUUCCAUAGUGUAGCGGUCAGCACUCCAGACUCUGAAUCUGGCGACCCGAGUUCAAAUCUCGGUGGGACCU